rnacentral:rRNA from 1 species
GGAGCUUGCUCCUCUGACGUUAGCGGCGGACGGGUGAGUAACACGUGGAUAACCUACCUAUAAGACUGGGAUAACUUCGGGAAACCGGAGCUAAUACCGGAUAAUAUAUUGAACCGCAUGGUUCAAUAGUGAAAGACGGUUUUGCUGUCACUUAUAGAUGGAUCCGCGCCGCAUUAGCUAGUUGGUAAGGUAACGGCUUACCAAGGCAACGAUGCGUAGCCGACCUGAGAGGGUGAUCGGCCACACUGGAACUGAGACACGGUCCAGACUCCUACGGGAGGCAGCAGUAGGGAAUCUUCCGCAAUGGGCGAAAGCCUGACGGAGCAACGCCGCGUGAGUGAUGAAGGUCCUCGGAUCGUAAAACUCUGUUAUUAGGGAAGAACAAAUGUGUAAGUAACUAUGCACGUCUUGACGGUACCUAAUCAGAAAGCCACGGCUAACUACGUGCCAGCAGCCGCGGUAAUACGUAGGUGGCAAGCGUUAUCCGGAAUUAUUGGGCGUAAAGCGCGCGUAGGCGGUUUUUUAAGUCUGAUGUGAAAGCCCACGGCUCAACCGUGGAGGGUCAUUGGAAACUGGAAAACUUGAGUGCAGAAGAGGAAAGUGGAAUUCCAUGUGUAGCGGUGAAAUGCGCAGAGAUAUGGAGGAACACCAGUGGCGAAGGCGACUUUCUGGUCUGUAACUGACGCUGAUGUGCGAAAGCGUGGGGAUCAAACAGGAUUA